rnacentral:misc_RNA from 1 species
AACCAUAGAAACCUGCGGAGUACCUGCGGAAGGAUCAUUACCGAGUUUACAACUCCCAAACCCCUGUGAACAUACCAAUUGUUGCCUCGGCGGAUCAGCCCGCUCCCGGUAAAACGGGACGGCCCGCCAGAGGACCCCUAAACUCUGUUUCUAUAAGUAACUUCUGAGUAAAACCAUAAAUAAAUCAAAACUUUCAACAAUGGAUCU